AAAAAAAAAAAAAAAAAAAACAUCUCAGGGAUUUGUUGACUAAAUGGCAAAAGGGGUGUUUCAUACUGCAGCUGGCAAAAAACACCAAUUUACAGACAGAGAUAUGUGAUCACAGUUUUCUUAGGGAAAGGUUAUCUGAGAUACCAUCUCAAAUAUAUUACCAAAAAUUGCUUUUUAGUUUUACUAUUUACUAAAUCAUUUCUAACUGCAUCUGAUAAGAAGAGAGACUCAGUCAAGUGAACCAUUAAGAGAAACAUAAGCUGAAAGGACCUUGAACAUUAAACAUGUGCUGCAUCCUUGAAAGGCUGAUAUGAAUUAGCGUCCUGUACUGUAAAAAAAAAAAAAAAUAGAUACUUGAUUCUCUGCUCUGAUGCACAUUCUAUACUUGUGAGUAGAUCAGCACCAUUAUUUAAAGAAGCAAAAAGAGAAGUUCCUGUGGUAAGUCAUUUUCAGAAAACCAACGGAAAUCCCCACAUCAAAACAGAGAAGAAAAGAGGACAAUGCCAAAAGCAUUGCAGAGGCAAAAUGCCCAACCAGAUUUUGCACAGACGUCUUAGAGCUGAUCACACAAGUUGUACUAUUACACAACUUUUCUCAUUUAAACGUUUCCACAUAAGCAAAAGAGGGCACAUCUUCCGCUGUCGUUGAGAAAUCCCCAUUCUUUCCAAAUGACCUUUAGUUGAAAAGGGUGUGCUCAUAUUGUCACUCUUUAAUAUUUAAUACACCCAUAUUAACUUGAUAUUUAUCCUGAAAAAAAAAAAACAUUUAUUCUUUCAUUGCCAAAUAAACAUUUUUUCUCAAAGAAUAAAGUUCCAAUAGCAGCACGUCAUUUAUGAUCAUUUUAUGCAAAUGAUCAGCGUCAUGAUGAUUUUAUAACUGACACCAGAAAAACAAAACAGAAACUAAAUUUGUGAUAUGCAAAGCACACAUUUUGAUUUUUUUUUAAUAAUUACAAGAGGACAAGAGGCAUUGCAUAUUCACAUUAUUAUAUUAACAUUAGAGAAAACAGAAAAGAAAAAAAGAAAGGAAGGAAGAAAAAUAAAUUUCAAAGCUAAUUCAAAGCAUUAUGUUUUCAGCACUUUUUUUGGUUUUAGUUUGUACCAAGAGAUUUACAUAUUAUUUCAAGUCAUUUAUAAAAUGUUAUGUCAAUAAUGAAAACUGAAGAGACCUCCUCUUGACGUCAGAUACCGCAGGAGGCGCAGCUCCUUUUCUGUCUCGCGCUCAGCCAACGCGCUCACUCGAGGGACAGUAGAACUGCAUGGGUUUCGCGUUUUCUUCGAUGAACCCACUGUACAUUUAUGCCAUGUUAAAUAUAUACAUGGCACUAAAUGUUUUAAAGAGUUCGAUACACCUGGGGGUUUGUGGAAUGGCUUUGGGAAGUUUCUGAUUGGCCACUAAAAAGGGCAAAAUGCACUCAGAGAGAUGACACGAAUAUCAGCCGGGAUUCUGUCUCCACUUUUGACCUCCACAAGAUCACCUACAACUACUUCCUCAGCGUCGAUGAUCUUUUUCUCUCCAUCACGCACAACCAGGGCUUUCUACAUGACAAUAAAUGUACAUAAACAUGAAUAUCCUUUGUAAAAGCUGUUUUUGGCAUAAAGAGAAAUUAUAUUUUUAUACCUGAGGAACAAUGUUCUUGAAAGAAUCCAUGAUUUUAUAGCUUUUGGCCUCUUGAUAGUAUGAGAAACAUCCAUUGACUGUGACAACAAAAGCAAGCACAAGUCCCAUUUAUACCCUGGCAUCUCACCUGUGUAAUGAGGUGGUGUUCCUUUUAAUUUAGAAAGGAGUUUGUCAGGUGUCAUUUAGUUUUAACAUUUAUUUAACCUUCGUUUAUACAGGUAGGUCAUUUCUGUGACACCCAGGUGAAGGACUGGUCUAUUAACUAUUGUCUUGUCAACAGAUCUAUGGCUUUGGUUUGUAUCACUUCUUACAAUAUGUAUAUAUAUUUUUUUACAUGGGGAAUAAAAAAUGACUGUGUAAAUUGUUCUGUGGCACCGAUAUCUAUUGAAUCAGUCUGCAUCUGUUCAUUGACAUCAUUACAAGUUAAAAUGUGCACUUUGAAUAUAGGACCUUGUGAAUGUUAAUGAUGAAAAAGAUUGAUCUGUUGUCAGUAAAUAGACUGUCUCUGCCUCCAUGUCUUUCACAGUGCCUUAAAGUUUAGUCCACAUUUAUGCCUCCAGCAGCGUCACACAGAUGUGGGUGCCACAAACAUCAGUUUGCAGGUCUAAUGAUUUCUCUCUUGAGUUUGCAUUGAUUUCUAAAACCCCUCUGGUCUGUUUAUGUAGACCUAUGUCCCACACCUAAAUAAUCAAUGAAAAAUGCACUUGUCAUUUCUUUGUGAAAUUUUUCUAAUAAAUUUUGAACAGUUUCAAAGUAAA